CUAUCCACCAGUUCUCGUACGAUCACCGAAGUUAAGAAAUGUCGAGCAUGGUCAGUACCUACAUGGCUGAACGCUUGGGAAUACCAGAUGCUGUAA